CAUGCAAGUCGAGCGGUAACAGACAUAAAGAUUCAGCUUGCUGAAUCCGGUGCUGACGAGCGGCGAACGGGUGAGUAACGCGUAGGAAUCUACCCAGUAGCGGGGGAUAGCCCGGGGAAACCCGGAUUAAUACCGCAUACGCCCUAAGGGGGAAAGGGGGCAGCUUGCUGCUCUCACUAUUGGAUGAGCCUGCGUAAGAUUAGCUUGUUGGUGGGGUAAAGGCCUACCAAGGCAACGAUCUUUAGCUGGUCUGAGAGGACGAUCAGCCACAUUGGGACUGAGACACGGCCCAGACAUCUACGGAUGGCAGCAGUUAAGAAUAUUGGACAAUGGGGGAAACCCUGAUCCAGGUAUACCGCGUGUGUGAAGAAGGCCCUAGGGUUGUAAAGCACUUUAAUCAGAGAAGAAGCAUUUUAAGUUAAUACCUUAUUAUGUUGACGUUACCUGAAGAAUAAGGACCGGCUAACUCCGUGCCAGCAGCCGCGGUAAUACGGAGGGUCCAAGCGUUAAUCGGAAUUACUGGGCGUAAAGCGCGCGUAGGCGGUUUAGCAAGUUGAAUGUGAAAGCCCUGGGCUCAACCUAGGAACUGCAUUCAAAACUACUAAACUAGAGUGCGAGAGAGGAGAGUAGAAUUUCUGGUGUAGCGGUGAAAUGCGUAGAUAUCAGAAGGAAUACCAAUGGCGAAGGCAGCUCUCUGGCUCGUCACUGACGCUAAGGUGCGAAAGCGUGGGUAGCAAACAGGAUUAGAUACCCUGGUAGUCCACGCCGUAAACGAUGAGAACUAGCCGUUGGGCAGAUUUAACUGUUCAGUGGCACAGCUAACGCAUUAAGUUCUCCGCC
rnacentral:rRNA from 1 species